rnacentral:rRNA from 1 species
UACGGGGGGGGCAAGCGUUGUUCGGAAUUACUGGGCGUAAAGGGCUCGUAGGCGGCCAACUAAGUCAGACGUGAAAUCCCUCGGCUUAACCGGGGAACUGCGUCUGAUACUGGUUGGCUUGAGUGUGGGAGAGGGAUGCGGAAUUCCAGGUGUAGCGGUGAAAUGCGUAGAUAUCUGGAGGAACACCGGUGGCGAAGGCGGCAUCC